UGUAACGGCCGGCAACUAAGUCAGGUGGUCCUUCACAUCCGCUACGAGCGGCUCAUCAUUAGAGCUCAUGCAUGGUUGAUUUUCAGUACUUUAGAAUCGUAAUGCGAGAACGCCCCGACCGCCAGCCUGUAUCUGCUGCAAUCGAUGAUCAGACAUAAACGAUAAUAUGCGGUUGAAAAUUUCAUCGUUUUGUGAUGUUUAUGGCACUUACACUUCUCGCUUAUUGCCAGCUUGACCGUUUUUGCUGAUUUAAACAUUUAUCCUCUGCAACACGUUAAGGAUUGAUUCGAACAGCAUAUUUAUUUACCGUGGACUGUCUGUGCGCUGUUGCGAGUUUGGUCGGGUAUUUAUGUGGUCAAUAACAAACCCCAUAACAGGUUUAAGUUUUUGCGAUCGGUCAGAGCCUGUAAUAGCCCAUCGAAUUUCUAAAGGCCAUUUUCAUAUGGCUACUGUGAAACUACACAUUGUUGAAUUUUCACCUGCCGUGUAAUCGGUUCAAACGCGUCAGCGUUCUUGCGUCACAGACGGCCAACUUACUAGUACGGAACGGCGCAUCAGAACGGAAAAAUGGAUUUCCAAUAAAAGCAAAGAAGACCUAUUGCAGUCAUUAUUUAAAUGUAUAUCCAGAACUGCAAAAGAAGUACAGCGUUGCAGUUACCCGGCUGUAAUUCCGCUGAGAUACCGCAGCGUCGACUCCUUCGCGUGGUCUGCAGCUGACCCUUUAUGGAGAAAACGAACAGGUGCGCCCACCUGAAUCUUAGGUAUUUGCAGGACACUUCUACUAUACGCGGCCGCAG